UACGUAGGGGGCUAGCGUUGUCCGGAAUCAUUGGGCGUAAAGCGCACGUAGGCGGAUCGUUAAGUCAGGGGUGAAAUCCUGGAGCUCAACUCCAGAACUGCCUUUGAUACUGGCGAUCUUGAGUCCGGAAGAGGUGAGUGGAACUCCUAGUGUAGAGGUGGAAUUCGUAGAUAUUAGGAAGAACACCAGUGGCGAAGGCGGCUCACUGGUCCGGUACUGACGCUGAGGUGCGAAAGCGUGGGGAGCAAACAGG
rnacentral:rRNA from 1 species